rnacentral:rRNA from 1 species
ACCUGCUCAAUGAAAUUUUAAAUAGCUGCAGUAACAAUAACUGUACUAAGGUAGCAUAAUCAUUAGAUUUUUAAUUAAAAUCUUGUAUGAAAGGUUUAAUGAAAUAUAAACUGUCUCAAAUAAAUUAAUUAAAAUUAUUUUUUAAGUAAAAAAACUUAAAUAUUCUUAAAAGACGAGAAGACCCUAUAGAAUUUAAUAUUUAAUUAAUUAAUAAAUAUUAUUAUUAUUAUUAUAUAUAUAUAUAUAUAUAUAUAUAUACAUAUUAAUUUAAAUUAAAUAUUUAAUUGGGGCAAUUUUUAAAUUAAAUAAACUUUAAAAUAUUUUUUACAAAAAUAAUUGAAAUUAAAAUAUAUUCUUAUAAUAUAAUAUAAUAAAAUUAAUUACCUUAGGGAUAACAGCAUAAUAUUUUUUUUUAGACCAAAUAAAUAAAAAAGAUUAUGACUCGAUGUUGAAUUAAGAAAAAAUAAAUAGAAAAACA